rnacentral:misc_RNA from 1 species
AACCUAGCACACCUGCGGUGUGUACCUGCGGAAGGAUCAUUACUGAGUGAGGGCCUUCGGGCUCGACCUCCAACCCUUUGUGAACACAACUUGUUGCUUCGGGGGCGACCCUGCCGUUUCGACGGCGAGCGCCCCCGGAGGCCUUCAAACACUGCAUCUUUGCGUCGGAGUUUAAGUAAAUUAAACAAAACUUUUAACAAUGGAUCU